UCUGUCACAAUCUUGCGAGGAGGGGAGAGAGAAGAAGGGGUGAGAGGCAGAAACCCUGCCGCGCUCGCCGCCUCUUUUGUCUGCUCCGGGACUCGGACAAAAGGGGGAACUCUGAUGAACUCUCCCUCCUCCCCUCGCCCCGGACGCCCGGGUCUCUCCCGCUCGCAACUUUGCCGCGGCCACUUUCUCUGCUGUCAGGCCGCAGGAAAGGGUGCGAGCGCUUCGCGGGCGGCAACGAGGGAAUCGGGUCUCUUCCAAGUGCGCCGGAGUGGGCGAGAAGGUGUAAUUACUGUCAGCCACUGAGGACAUCACGCAGUUGCUGGAGUACUUCCUAGUGCUGAACUUCAUCCUGCAUUGUUUUUACUGGAUCUAUCAGCAAACGAUACGGAAAGUGCCCGUAUGACGUCAAAUCACCCCUGGGUGGAAGUUCCUCAAGGUUCUUCCUUUGGAGUUACUUAGCAGUUCAGUAGUUGGGAUUUUUUUGAAGAUGCCUUUCCUAUGUGGAUUAUUACAAUGUGAUGACCGCGAGCUCGCCACCUUCCAGAAGAUUCCAUGGAACACCAAGAUGAGAGAGCAGUCGCCAGGCCUUCUAAUAGGUGUGAAUCAUGGUGCUACGAUGAGAGUUGGUGAUUUAUGGCUUUGGAGGGCAUGCGUGUGUAUGAUUAAGGGAUGCCUUUCGUCAAGACCACCCGUCAAAACAGGAAGAUAA
rnacentral:lncRNA from 1 species